AUGUUUGUAAGGGUCAAAUCUUGCAAGUUAAAUUUGACCCACUUCUCGGUUUCCGAUGAAGCUGAAAAUUUGCAUACAUAUUCGAGUGACAAUGCAAUAUUAUGGUACCAUCGAGCUGAUCUGAUGAUGGAGACAGGAGGUGGUCAUAGGAACUGUGAUAAAAACAACGCAACCAAAUUGUGUUUGGGGUUUUUAGAAUUGUCUCGAUGAAUAUUAGUUGCCUGUGGAAAGAAAAGUACAGUCAGCGAUAAAAGCUUGUACCAAAAAUGAAAUUUUUGUCAAAAACUUAUUCUACAGAUAAAGUUGGUAUCUCAUAGGUAAGCAUGUUCCACCGUAGACCACAUCAUCACUUACCAUCAGGUGGGAUCGUGGUCAAA